rnacentral:rRNA from 1 species
AUUGAACGCUGGCGGCAGGCUUAACACAUGCAAGUCGAGCGAGCGGCGGACGGGUGAGUAAUGUCUGGGAAACUGCCUGAUGGAGGGGGAUAACUACUGGAAACGGUAGCUAAUACCGCAUAGCAUCAGAUGUGCCCAGAUGGGAUUAGCUGGUAGGUGGGGUAAUGGCUCACCUAGGCGACGAUCCCUAGCUGGUCUGAGAGGAUGAACAGGCACACAGGAACGGAUACACGGUCAAGACUGCUAGGCGAGGUAGCAGGGGGGAAUAUUGCGCAAUGGGCUCAAGGCUGAUGCAGCCAUGCCGCGGGUGUGACGAAGGCAGUCGGGUUGUAAAGCACUUUCAGCGCGGAGGCGUUACUCGCAGAAGAAGCACCGGCUAACUCCGUGCCAGCAGCCGCGGUAAUUC